AUAUAUUAAUUCAUCAUAGAUGAAGUGCUAUAAAUACAAUGUUAGUGUGUUAGGAAGAGAUACAAGCUUGUGAGAUAUAAUUAUAUAUAUGAUGAAAAUGGAGAAGAGUACUAAGAAUAGUGUGGUGAUGAUGAUGAGCUAUAUUAUAGUUGUUGUUCUUGUGUUUCUUCCAUCUACUAGUUUUGCAGGUGGCGGGAGAGCUCUGAAUAAUCUUCAACUUUACUCCUCAGAUCAUCCUGGACAGGCACAGGUCACUCUCACUGUCGAACCUUCUCUUUCAGAUAUAUUAUUGAUAGAAAGUUCAGGAAAGAAUGCUCAAUGCUUUGGUAAAUUUUGCGCGCCUUGGUCACCUUGCCAAUCUGGGUGU